CAUUUCACGUUGACCAUGCUGAGACUUAUGGCGUUAUCCUGGGCAGCCGCGGAUGCUGGCUCAAGAGCAACGACAAGGCGUUGUCAUCAAUUGGGCUCAAUGUCACACGGAAGAUGAAAGAACACCUCAGCUGGUUGACAUUCGAAAACACGAUCCGAAUCUACAACUCAUUCAUGAAAAACUGAGUUGUUCUUGUUGUUGUUUCUUUUUCCUUUUACUAUACUUUCUUGUUUCAUUGUUAUUAUUUGUUGUUUUAUCUUACAUUUUACCGUCGGCAAUUCCAUUGUUAUUAUUACUGUUACUGGUAUUAUUAUUACUAUUGUUAUUACGUUUACUACUAUUUUCUUUGCUCUCGCGAACGUUCGUUGUUGUUACUUUUGGACCCGGUUUAAAGAAAUCGCACGCACAGCGGAACUGGACCGCCUAAACCAGAAACAUUAAAGUAACAAUAGCCAAAUGCCUCGUCAUCUAAUUAGUGACGCGUAUGAAUGGAUCAACAAGAUUCCUUCUGUCCCUAUCUACUAUCUAGCGAAACCACAGCCAAGGGAACGGGCUUGGCAAAAUCAGCGGGGAAAGAAGACCCUGUUGAGCUUGACUCUAGUCUGACUCUGUGAAGAGACAUGAAAGGUGUAGCAUAGGUGGGAGAUUGUCCCCUCUCCUCUUCAACUCAGUCAUGGACGAGUUGAUAGAGCGCCUCGAACAAAGUGGAGUGGGUUAUAAAAUCAAUAACACUGAGGUCGUAACACUGGCGUUCGCGGACGACGUAACUUUAGUCAGUAGAAGUCACAGGGGAAUGGAAAAACUUCUCUCCAUCACCCACGACUUCAUUAAU
rnacentral:ncRNA from 1 species